rnacentral:rRNA from 1 species
UACGAAGGGGGCUAGCGUUGUUCGGAAUUACUGGGCGUAAAGGGCGCGUAGGCGGUGUGUCAAGUCAGGCGUGAAAGCCCCGGGCUCAACCUGGGAACCGCGCUUGAGACUGGCACGCUCGAGUUCGGGAGAGGAUGGUGGAAUUCCCAGUGUAGAGGUGAAAUUCGUAGAUAUUGGGAAGAACACCGAUGGCGAAGGCAACCAUCUGGACCGACACUGACGCUGAGGCGCGAAAGCGUGGGGAGCAAACAGG